AGUGAACGCUGGCGGUAGGCCUAACACAUGCAAGUCGAACGGCAGCACAGUAAGAGCUUGCUCUUACGGGUGGCGAGUGGCGGACGGGUGAGGAAUACAUCGGAAUCUACUUUUUCGUGGGGGAUAACGUAGGGAAACUUACGCUAGUACCGCAUACGACCUACGGGUGAAAGUAGGGGAUCUUCGGACCUUGCGCGAUUGAAUGAGCCGAUGUCGGAUUAGCUAGUUGGCGGGGUAAAGGCCCACCAAGGCGACGAUCCGUAGCUGGUCUGAGAGGAUGAUCAGCCACACUGGAACUGAGACACGGUCCAGACUCCUACGGGAGGCAGCAGUGGGGAAUAUUGGACAAUGGGCGCAAGCCUGAUCCAGCCAUACCGCGUGGGUGAAGAAGGCCUUCGGGUUGUAAAGCCCUUUUGUUGGGAAAGAAAAGCAGCAGGUUAAUACCCCGCUGUUCUGACGGUACCCAAAGAAUAAGCACCGGCUAACUUCGUG
rnacentral:rRNA from 1 species